GACGAACGCUGGCGGCGUGCUUAACACAUGCAAGUCGAACGGAAAGGCCCUGCUUUUGUGGGGUGCUCGAGUGGCGAACGGGUGAGUAACACGUGAGUAACCUGCCCUUGACUUUGGGAUAACUUCAGGAAACGGGGGCUAAUACCGGAUAGGAGCUCCUGCUGCAUGGUGGGGGUUGGAAAGUUUCGGCGGUUGGGGAUGGACUCGCGGCUUAUCAGCUUGUUGGUGGGGUAGUGGCUUACCAAGGCAUUGACGGGUAGCCGGCCUGAGAGGGUGACCGGCCACAUUGGGACUGAGAUACGGCCCAGACUCCUACGGGAGGCAGAAGUGGGGAAUAUUGCACAAUGGGCGGAAGCCUGAUGCAGCAACGCCGCGUGCGGGAUGACGGCCUUCGGGUUGUAAACCGCUUUCGCCUGUGACGAAGCGUGAGUGACGGUAAUGGGUAAAGAAGCACCGGCUAACUACGUG
rnacentral:rRNA from 1 species